GGAUGUCUAACUGCGGUCCGUUAUCCGGAUCCAGGACAGUGUGUGGUGGGUAGUUUGACUGGGGCGGUCGCCUCCUAAAGCGUAACGGAGGCGCGCGAAGGUUGGCUCAGAGCGGUCGGAAAUCGCUCGUUGAGUGCAAUGGCAUAAGCCAGCCUGACUGCGAGACUGACAAGUCGAGCAGAGUCGAAAGACGGCCAUAGUGAUCCGGUGGUCCCGAGUGGAAGGGCCAUCGCUCAACGGAUAAAAGGUACGCCGGGGAUAACAGGCUUA
rnacentral:rRNA from 1 species